CUCUAAUAUUAUUCGAGAUUAUGUAUUUUAAGAAAUGCAUACAGUGAAAUAUUAGAUAUUAAAGGGGUUUAUUCCAUCCUUAAGUGGUAAAUAUAUAAAAAAGGCGAGGUAUGAGUAAAAAUUGAAAAUAU
rnacentral:ncRNA from 1 species